rnacentral:rRNA from 1 species
GAUGAACGCUGGCGGCGUGCCUAAUACAUGCAAGUCGAGCGAACAGACGAGGAGCUUGCUCCUCUGACGUUAGCGGCGGACGGGUGAGUAACACGUGGAUAACCUACCUAUAAGACUGGGAUAACUUCGGGAAACCGGAGCUAAUACCGGAUAAUAUAUUGAACCGCAUGGUUCAAUAGUGAAAGACGGUUUUGCUGUCACUUAUAGAUGGAUCCGCGCCGCAUUAGCUAGUUGGUAAGGUAACGGCUUACCAAGGCGACGAUGCGUAGCCGACCUGAGAGGGUGAUCGGCCACACUGGAACUGAGACACGGACCAGACUCCUACGGGAGGCAGCAGUAGGGAAUCUUCCGCAAUGGGCGAAAGCCUGACGGAGCAACGCCGCGUGAGUGAUGAAGGUCUUCGGAUCGUAAAGCUCUGUUAUUGGGGAAGAACAGAUGUGUAAGUAACUAUGCACGUCUUGACGGUACCUGAUCAGAAAGCCACGGCUAACUACGUG